UACGAAGGGUGCAAGCGUUACUCGGAAUUACUGGGCGUAAAGCGUGCGUAGGUGGUUCGUUAAGUCUGAUGUGAAAGCCCUGAGCUCAACCUGGGAAUGGCAUUGGAAACUGGCGACCUAGAGUGCGGUAGAGGGUAGUGGAAUUCCCGGUGUAGCAGUGAAAUGCGUAGAGAUCGGGAGGAACAUCCGUGGCGAAGGCGGGUCUCUGGACAGUUCCUGACACUGAGACACGAAGGCCAGGGGAGCAAACGGG
rnacentral:rRNA from 1 species